rnacentral:rRNA from 1 species
AUUGAACGCUGGCGGCAGGCCUAACACAUGCAAGUCGAGCGGAGCGGCGGACGGGUGAGUAAUGCCUAGGCAUCUGACUGGUAGUGGGGGAUAACGUCCGGACACGGGCGCUAAUACCGCAUACUAUCAGAUGAGCCUAGGUCGGAUUAGCUAGUUGGUGGGGUAAAGGCCUACCAAGGCGACGAUCCGUCACUGGUCUGAGAGGAUGAUCAGUCACACUGGAACUGAGACACGGGCCAGACUCAGACGGUAGGCAGCAGUGGAGAAUAUGUGACAAUGGGCGAAAGCCUGAGCCAGCCUGGCCGCGUGUGUGAAGAAGGUCUUCGGAUUGGAAAGCACUUUAAGUUGGGAGGCGUUACCAACAGAAUAAGCACCGGCUAACUUCGUGCCAGACGCCGCGGUAAUUC